rnacentral:rRNA from 1 species
UACGGAGGGUGCAAGCGUUAUCCGGAUUCACUGGGUUUAAAGGGUGCGUAGGCGGGCAGGUAAGUCCGUGGUGAAAUCUCUGAGCUUAACUCAGAAACUGCCAUGGAUACUAUUUGUCUUGAAUGUUGUGGAGGUAAGCGGAAUAUGUCAUGUAGCGGUGAAAUGCUUAGAUAUGACAUAGAACACCGAUUGCGAAGGCAGCUUACUACACAAAUAUUGACGCUGAGGCACGAAAGCGUGGGGAUCAAACGGG